GACGAACGCUGGCGGUGUGCUUAACACAUGCAAGUGGUGCGACGAACCAGAGCUUGCUCUGGGGCAAAGCCGCGAACGGGUGAGUAACACGUGGGUAAUCUACCCCGAUGACCGGGACAACCCGAGGAAACUCGGGCUAAUACCGGAUGUGGUACGGAGACAUAAGUCUCUUUACUAAAGGUAGCUUCGGCUUCCGCAUUGGGAGGGGCCCGCGGCCCAUUAGCUAGUUGGUGGGGUCAAGGCCUACCAAGGCAACGAUGGGUAGCUGGUCUGAGAGGACGAUCAGCCACACUGGGACUGAGACACGGCCCAGACUCCUACGGGAGGCAGCAGUGGGGAAUCUUGCGCAAUGCGCGAAAGCGUGACGCAGCAACACCGCGUGAGGGAAGACGGCCUUAGGGUUGUAAACCUCUUUCAGAUGGGACGAAGGUGAUGCGGUGAAUAGCCGAUGUCAUUGACGGUACCGUCAGAAGAAGCUCCGGCUAACUACGUGCCAGCCAGCCGAC
rnacentral:rRNA from 1 species